rnacentral:rRNA from 1 species
CCUACGGGCGGCAGCAGUGGGGAAUAUUGGACAAUGGGCGAAAGCCUGAUCCAGCCAUGCCGCGUGUGUGAAGAAGGCCUUCGGGUUGUAAAGCACUUUCAGUGGGGAAGAAAGCCUUGGGGCUAAUACCCUCGAGGAAGGACAUAACCCACAGAAGAAGCACCGGCUAACUCCGUGCCAGCAGCCGCGGUAAUACGGAGGGUGCGAGCGUUAAUCGGAAUUACUGGGCGUAAAGCGCGCGUAGGCGGUCUGAUAAGCCGGUUGUGAAAGCCCCGGGCUCAACCUGGGAACGGCAUCCGGAACUGUCAGGCUAGAGUGCAGGAGAGGAAGGUAGAAUUCCCGGUGUAGCGGUGAAAUGCGUAGAGAUCGGGAGGAAUACCAGUGGCGAAGGCGGCCUUCUGGACUGACACUGACGCUGAGGUGCGAAAGCGUGGGUAGCAAACAGGAUUAGAUACCCGAGUAGUC